AUGCAUCACCUCCUCGAGGCCUGCUCGUUCUCCCGUCAGGUUUGGCAUGAGAUCCUCGGCUGGGCUUGCAUGGCCGUCGACCUUCCAACUGAAGACACCCCCUUCCAAACCUGGUGGUCCUCCUACCUCGACCGCUCAUCGGCCCUCGUGCGAAAAGGCCUAUCCUCCCUCAUCAUCCUCAUGGCGUGGUGGCUUUGAAAACACCGUAACACGUGCAUCUUCGAUCGAGCCACUCCUUCGCUCACCUCUAUCUCCGACACUAUCAAAGACGAGGCGCGCCUAUGGGCAAAGGCAGGCGCCAAAGGGCUACUUAACAUCAUCCCUGGCGAGUAG
rnacentral:rRNA from 1 species